ACAUUGUGAUGUGGGCAUUUUAGAAGUAGCUCAUUAAAGUGCUCCCAUGAUUCGACGAAAAGGCCUUCGUCUUUUUGUUGAAGGGUAAGAAUCUCCCUUCUAAGUUC